rnacentral:misc_RNA from 1 species
GUGAAUCAUCGAAUUUUUGAACGCAAAUUGCACUCUCUUCGGUGCGUAUGCCUGCUUGAGGGUCAGACUAAAAAAAAUCGACAUAGUUGAUGUUUCGCGGUGACAUUCCUCGGAAAUUGGGUCAUCUUAAAUCUUUGGGUUUUAAGAGGUUUAAAUUUUUCUUUAAGCUUCCACGACCGUUACUAAGAUUUUACUUCUUACACGCUUAAGGUACAGCUAUU